AGAAGCUUGACAAGAGGCAUGGAGCAGAUGCUUCCUCACAGCCCUCAGAAGGAACCAACCCGCCAACCCCUUGAUCUCAGAUUUCUGGCCUCCAGAACCGCGAGACAGCAGAUUUCCAUGGCUUGAGCCGCCCGGUUUGUAGUACUUCAUUAUGGCAGCUCCAGCAAACAAAUACAGAUUUAUGACCUCGUCUACCCGACGAGGAUGCCUGGCCCAAGCUGGCAUACUAAGAGUUUUCCUGGAACUUGGGAACUGGGACAAAGAGGGACUAAGCCAGCAAGACCGAAAAGCAUGGCAGUCCCAGGACAGCCAUGAAAACCAUAUGUGAAUUAAUGAGUGAGCAGAUUGGAGCAGCAUUGUUUUGGACCCUAAGGACGUCACGUACAAAAUGCACUUAAAUCCUUGCCUCCUGGAGCUGAUGAUAAAGAAGAUGGACAAGUAAAACAUAUGGAAUGUGAAAUGGUGAUAAGAGUGAUGGAGAAAAUAAAACAGGAGAGGAGGUUGGAAUUGCCAGGUUACGACACAGCAAGAAGGCCCUCGCCAGAUGCAUCUCCUCCAUGUUGGACUUCCCAGCCUCCAGAUCCCUGAGCCAGAUAAAUUUCUAUGGUUUACAAAUUACCUAGUCUGUGGUAGUCUGUUACAGCAAUACAAAUGGACUAAGACAAUUAUCAUAUCUAACAAAACAAAAAUUCUUUCAAAUCAUCAUGUAUCCAUUCAAAUUCAAAAUUUCUUGAUUGUGUCGAAGUAAGGUUUUUUUAAACAUUAAUUUAGUUUGAUUCACAUUUCAAUUUUUAGUCUAGCACAGGAUCACCCACGAGGGAGCAUUUUGAAAAAGUGUGGAGUGUUUUUGGUUGCCCCAAUGAUGGGUAAGGGGCUUACUUCUGGCAAGUAGAGGCUGGGACCCCAGGCAGCUCAAUCUUUUACUAUCUGUGAGACAAUCUCACCAUCUCAUAUAUACUUACCCUAUGCUCCACACAAUUUUCAAAUGUUCUACUAGAUAUUUACAGAGUUGUUUAUAACUUGCUUAUAACUAUCUGAGCUUUAAAAAGUAACAAUUUUAUAUGUAAACAGAGAGACUUUUUAAAAAUGAUUUUUAAUAUGCACUAACUGUAUGCUAAGAAUGAAACUACUCUGUAAAUUAAGGGAAGAUUAGAGUUUGUGUUGUUAAUUUCUUUACCAGAUUUGCUCACUCUUUUGGAAAAUCACAUCAUUGACUGCCACACCACUCAUGGUAAUUGAGUCUCCAAUAUGCCUGUAUUAGUUUUCAUUCAUAGCUGUCAUAACUGUGGUGUUUUGCUUUUAGGAAAUAGUGCCUGUCUUAUCAUGUAUCCCGCAUAGUCCUCUCUGAGUUGUUGGCUAUUGAAAUACACCCCUAUGUGUGAUUCCUUAGCUUCUUCCUACUCUAAGUGUUGCUCAGUCCUUCUCAUCAUGCCUGAACCAGAUACUGUGGUCUCCAGCUGUCUUUCUCUUAGAAUAAUGUCCCAGCAUUUAGGUUUGGUUGGGGACGGGAGCAAGGGGUGGGCAUGAAUUUCCUGAGCUUCCCUGGCAUUUGCAGGGAGACAGCAAGGGAAUACCUCUGUGGGUCACAACAGAGGGAGAGCCAGCUGAGCUUGCAGGAUGGAAACAUUUAGUAGGCUCCCUCCAGCCAUCACUGUCUCCACUACUGCUGACGCCACCAUCCAUAACAAAGCUUCCAAUUUGCAGGCUUCAGAUUCAGCUUCUGUUUCCUGAGUGCCUCCACUAUACCAGCCAUUGGGCCAGGCAUCCAGAAGCCCUAAGGUAGACCUCAUCAUCCCUGUUCUACAGGAGAGGAAAACCAAGACUUGGCUACUACAGUAUACAAAGGGUGUGGAAAAGUCCUCCUAGAACCCUUACCCUGCUUCCAGGAGGAGCUGGACAGUUCUUUCCAAGUCCAGGCAGAAAGAAGUCUCCUCUUUUUCCAUUCUCUUUGUUACUUUAUAUGUCUGUGCAGGCUUGGUUGAGGAAGAAGGGGGGCCAGAAGGAAGUCUGGCCAGAUGGCAGGGUAAUAAAUGACUCUGACUUAA